AUUGAACGCUGGCGGCAUGCUUUACACAUGCAAGUCGGACGGCAGCGGGGUAGUGCUUGCACUACUGCCGGCGAGUGGCGCACGGGUGAGUAAUAUAUUGGAACGUACCGAGUAAUGGGGGAUAACCAAUCGAAAGAUUGGCUAAUACCGCAUACGCUCUGAGGAGGAAAGCAGGGGACCUUCGGGCCUUGCGUUAUUCGAGCGGCCAAUAUCUGAUUAGCUAGUUGGUGGGGUAAGGGCCUACCAAGGCGACGAUCAGUAGCGGGUCUGAGAGGAUGAUCCGCCACACGUGGACUGAGACACGGCCCAGACUCCUACGGGAGGCAGCAGUGGGGAAUUUUGGACAAUGGGCGCAAGCCUGAUCCAGCCAUGCCGCGUGUCUGAAGAAGGCCUUCGGGUUGUAAAGGACUUUUGUUAGGGAAGAAAAAGGAGCGGUUAAUACCCGUUUCUGCUGACGGUACCUAAAGAAUAAGCACCGGCUAACUACGUG
rnacentral:rRNA from 1 species